rnacentral:rRNA from 1 species
GACGAACGCUGGCGGCGUGCUUAACACAUGCAAGUCGAACGGAAAGGCCCUGCUUUUGUGGGGUGCUCGAGUGGCGAACGGGUGAGUAACACGUGAGUAACCUGCCCUUGACUUUGGGAUAACUUCAGGAAACUGGGGCUAAUACCGGAUAGGAGCUCCUGCUGCAUGGUGGGGGUUGGAAAGUUUCGGCGGUUGGGGAUGGACUCGCGGCUUAUCAGCUUGUUGGUGGGGUAGUGGCUUACCAAGGCUUUGACGGGUAGCCGGCCUGAGAGGGUGACCGGCCACAUUGGGACUGAGAUACGGCCCAGACUCCGACGGGAGGCAGCAGUGGGGAAUAUUGCACAAUGGGCGGAAGCCUGAUGCAGCAACGCCGCGUGCGGGAUGACGGACUUCGGGUUGUAAACCGCUUUCGCCUGUGACGAAGCGUGAGUGACGGUAAUGGGUAAAGAAGCACCGGCUAACUACGUG